AUUGUACUGGUUUUGCCAUACAUCAACAUGAAUCUGCCACAGGUAUACACGUGUUCCCCAUCCUGAACCCCCCUCCCACCUCCUUCCCCAUACCAUCCCUCUGGGUCAUCUCAGUGCACCAGCCCCAAGCAUCCUAUAUCAUGCAUCAAACCUGGACUGGCAAUUCAUUUCAUAUAUGAUAAAAAAUGGGCCAAAGAACUAAACAGACAUUUCUCCAAAGAAGACAUACAGAUGGCUAACAAAUAACAUGAAAAGAUGCUCAACAUCACUCAUUAUCAGAGAAAUGCAAAUCAAAACCACAAUGAGGUACCAUUUCAUGCCAGUCAGAAUGGCUGUGAUCCAAAAGUCUACAAGCAAUAAAUGCUGGAGAGGGUGUGGAGAAAAGGGAACCCUUUUACACUGUUGGUGGGAAUGCAAACUAGUACAGCCACUAUGGAGAACAGUGUGGAGAUUCCUUAAAAAACUACAAAUAGAACUGCCUUAUGACCUAGCAAUCCCACUGCUUGGCAUACACACUGAGGAAACCAGAAUUGAAAGAGACACGUGUACCCCAAUGUUCAUUGCAGCACUGUUUUUAAUAGCCAGGACAUGGAAACAACCUAGAUGUCCAUCAGCAGAUGAAUGGAUAAGAAAGCUGUAGUACAUAUACACAAUGGAGUAUUACUCAGCCAUUAAAAAGAAUACAUUUGAAUCAGUUCUAAUGAGGUAGAUGAAACUGGAACCAAU
rnacentral:lncRNA from 1 species